GUUACCUUCAAAACCACCUUUUAAUGCAAAAGCAUAUAUAUACAUACACACACAUUGUUGGUUAUUAUUCAUGCAGAAAACAAUCUGGGAGGAAACAUAAGACAUUAAUAAUGAUCACCAAAUAGAUGUAGUUUGAUUUUUGUUUUUCACUAUUUCACUUGUAUUUGUGGAAUGGGCAUGGGUUGCUUUUUUAAUAAGAUUAAAAGAAUAACUUUUCAGGAAAAAAAAAAGUUUAAGGAAGUAAGGAUGAUUGGCCUGGAGAAGCAAGUUUCAUAGGAGACAUGGUAGAUGUAUUCCAAUAGUUGAGCCUUAAGUGGGGAAAAAAAAAAUUUGUACCGUACAGCUUCAGAAACAGGACUGAUGGAUAAAAGUUUCACAGUGUUUCUAACAAUCAGAGAUGAUUAGAAAAGCCACAAUGAGCACCCCAUCCUUGAAGGAAUUCAAGCAGAAGCUGGAGGCCACCUCUUAGGGAUGACCUAUAGGUAAUUCACGGAUCAAGUGGCAGAUUAGAUCACAAGACCUGUAAGUUUCUAUCGAAUUGGGGAUUCUGACUUAUUUCCUAUUUGACCUAAUUUAGCUUUGACAUACACUAGAAGAGAUGAGAAACAGGUGGUCAUCAGCCUUCAGAGAGCUGAAGUCUGUUCUCUUGCUAAUUAUUUUUCUGCAACGAUCACUGUUUCUAUAAAUCUUAUGAGAAGACACUUGUGUUCCCUCGUUCUAUGGAUCCAGUGUGGAAUGGACACGUCAGAACUGCUAGCAGAGACAUGUGAGUGCCCACUCCUCACGCCACCAAAUGGCCAGCAUCAACCCUGAAGUACAGUCUCAAUGUUGGUGCUUGCCAAGAACAGACGAAAGAAUAGGCAGUGUCUUUGGAGUUCAGGAGUCUGUGAUGCCAUUUUUGUCUUCUGUAUCAGUCAGGAAUGGCUAAUAGAGGCCUGGCCUAAUGGCUUAAACAAAUUAGGUGUUUGUGUGUUCACGUAACAGUAGUGCACAGGAAUACCAUGCAGGACUGGUAUGGCAGCUCUACAACAUCCUUGCAGAACCAAGCUCCUUUCUUCACCACUCUCCUACGUACAGAGCUUAUAGCCUCAGGAGCUUCAGCCAUCACUUCUGCGUUCCAGGCAGGAAAAAGGGAAGAGCAGAAGGUAAAAGUGGUGCUCCUCUGAGUUUUAAAGAACUCCCCUAGAAGUCCUGCUCAGUAGUUAGUGCUUCUGUCUCAUGGGCCACAUUUUACUGCAAGGGGUGGGGGAUGGAAAAUGAUGCAGUGUUUUUACUAGGUACUUUGUUAUCUCAUUAAAGUCCAGCGUUCUGGAACUAGGGAAGUAGGUGGAUAUAGGGCAAACAAUAGCAGUCUCUUCCCUUCUCACACAGUCCCUCUAUAAGGCUAGUGGGGAUUACUCCAUACUUCAUAAAGAUGAGAAAACUGAGAAGUGGUCGUGAGGACUUGUUUAGAGCCACAGAAUGUCAGUGGUGAUGUUGGUCCCAACACCCAGCUUUGAAAAAAUGAGAGAACACAAAGAAACCCAUGAACAUCUGUGGACAAACACCAGCUGUGAGCCCAGGGCCACCUCUCCUUGCGGAAUCAAAACUGGCAGAUGAGAGAGGCUGCAGAGGCCCAAGACUGAAGCCCAUGACAGCUCGGCGAGGAGCACCUAGAAAUGUGCCAUCCCACACCUGACUGUGAGGGGCCAUCAGGAGAACAAGCAAGGGCAGGUGUUUCUUCCAGCAGUGAGGGGACAUCUGUACUGAGCUGCCCAGCAGGAGAAAGAUUAGAUUUCUCUGUGCAAAGCAAACAGCUCCUUAUGGCAGUCACAUACCUGUCCUCACUCCUUUUGAGCAUAGGGCUAUACUGAGAAAACCAGUUUGUUUGAAAAAGGCCUGGAGCUCUGUUCUUUCUCAUCCCCUUUAUCUACCAUAGGAAUAAUGGCAACGUGACCAGAGGUGUAAGGGGAGCCUAGGACCUACUCUGAAAUACAUGUAAUGCAAGUGGAGGCGGCAACUCCCCACAUCUGAGGAGGGGAAGGUCCUCACAGAAGGGAAACAGGAACAAAGCAAAAGUAGACAGGAACAUGUGUUUAGCUUUAGACACAGGACAUAAAAUGCAGUUUUGCUGCAGUUCUGGUGAGAGCACGUGGCAUAGGAGGAAGACGGCUGAACGUCGCGGGGUUUGCUUGGGAGGAAAUGACCAAGCCCAGAGGGAAAGAAGCGUUCCCUCUUUCCCCUUCCAAUGCUUACAUCAAUUUUGGAUUAUCUGUGUAUUUACUCCCCAUUCAUUGACUCUAAUUAAAAGUUGACUGAAAUCUGUUUAGAAUUCUAUGUAGCCAGGCUUUCAGAAAAGCUUUUUAAAAUAAGUGUGGAGUAGAAAUUUGGUAAUGAAGAUCACUACCAUGCUCCUUUGAGAGAAAAGAUGGGAAAGGGACUGGAAGGAGAGGAUGGCUAGACGGAGGGAGGGCUAGCUGUGGUGGCCCCACGCUCCUCAGAAGCCGUGCCCUGAAAAGAGCCACUUCUGAGCAUUCCACUGACAUUACUUUUCCACGAAGCUUUGGGCACCUCAGGCCCCUGCAGUUGGACAAUGAGGCUCUUCAGACAACUAUAAAGAACUUCCAACUCUUGCUCCCUCACCCCAGGCCUUCUGUAAUCUUGAGACCCUAGAUCUGCUCACGUGGGCUUGGGAAGGCUGGUCAGAUGGCCAAUAGGGUCUGGCCCCACCUGCCUUUCCCUUUCCUCCUUCAGCAGCAUAGCUCCUUGCCCUCACGAGGGCACAAUCAGGGCUGAGAGCCUUCAUGAGCCCCCCUUGGUCCUCUGGGGUAUGAGGAGUCAGCAGGGACACAUUCCCCAUCUCCACUAGGACCAUCUGUGCUCAAUUAUAAGCCCUUUGGAAGCAAGCAGAGGGCUGUUUAGCUGCUGCUGGUUCUCUAUGAUUAGCUUGUUCUUGUUUUUUGAACACUGCACGUGGUGCAGCCAGCUGUGAGAAGCAUCCACGAUUCAAAGCUUUUUCUCUCUCAAAAAGAAAAGUGCUAAGCUGGUUGUUUUAACUAUGGGAAAAGAAAAAACAUUUAAAAGUGUUACUUUCUGGGUAAGUUCCUUUCCAUACCUUUUAAUUCCACUGUUUCCAGGAUUGGGACCAUCCUUUGUCUAUAUUUCAGACCCUAUAUAGGCACUUGCUUGCUGCAAAUGAGCCUUGUUAACAUCAAGGUAGUGUGUAAUUCCAGCUCACGCAUCCGUAUUUCAGUAGCCUCUCUUCUCGCUUAUUGUGUGUUGAGAGAGACCAGAUCUUCAAGGCAUCCUUUUAAUAAAACCAUUGCAGAGACUCCACUCUGCAAUGCACUAAGGAGCCAGGGCUAACUGCAGAGGCUUACCUUCUUUUCAGGUGCUGAGCCAGGAACAAAGCAACACUACUUUGUUCACACUUGAAAUCCUCAGUGUUCUCUGCAGGCAAGAAGCAGUUGGCUGGGUUUGGCUCUAUGCCAGCAUGAAAAUCACUAGGGGUGCUUAAUAAAAUGGUUAUUUCUGGGGCUACAUCAUGGAUUUGAAAUCCAGACUCACAUGUGAGUGGAGAGCCAGAGAAGCUGGAGAUUUGGGAGUCGUGUGAAUAGUAAUAAUGGAAACCACGAGAUGAACUACAAUUCACAGGCAAAAGAAUAUGGCAGUAGAAAAAGAUGUAGGUAAUUGGCCAGGCGUGGCGGCUCAGGCCUGUAACCCCAGCACUUUGGGAGGCUGAGGUGGGCAGAUCACUUGAGGUCAAGAGUUUGAGACCAGCCUGGCCAACAUGGCAAAACCCCAUCUCUACUAAAAAUAUAAAAAAUUAGCUGUGCAUGGUGGCAUGCGCCUGUAGUCCCAGCUACUUGGGAGGCGGAGGCACGAGAAUCGCUUGAACUCGGGAGGCACAGAUUGCAGUAAGCCAAGAUCAUGCCAGUGUACUCCAGCCUGGGCAACAGAGCGAGACUCCAUCUCAAAAAAAAAAAAAAAGAUCCAGGUAAUUACAGUCCCUUCGCCUCACAUUUCUGAAUGAGGUAAAUAAACUCAUUUCUUAUUCUCAUAAUAUACAGGAUCUAUGAUAAACAGCAGCACAAUUACGCCAGUAACCACAGGGCAUGCCUAUAGAUACAAAAAGUUCUUUGUAGCAUGGGUUCGGUCGGCUUUUAUCUAACUAAAUUUUCUGAAAUUUAGAAAACCAUCUAAAUAUGGAAUAAAUGGUUUUACUUACCAUGCUGAAGAAAAAGAAGUAAAAAUGUCUAAAUAUUUAGCAGAAAUAUUACUUCAAAACUGAUUUUACUUUUUGUUUUUGCUAAGUAAUUUUAAGCGUGCCCAAGGAUAAAAAAAAUCUGUACCAAUCAUGGGUUAUUACAUUGAGGAUAAUGGGAGCCACUGUCUGAGAAAGGAGUUAUCAAUAUGGAAAGAAAAUGAGAAGCAAUCCUGUGUUGUUGGACUAGAAUUGGAGGUACUGGUGUGAAUUCAUGGUUUUCAAUAUAUGGAUAUGAAAGUAAAUUUAGAUAUUAAUGUGAAGCAAAUUUAGACAACGUGUGUACAUAUGUGUGUGCAUACAUGUACACAAUUCCCAAGUUCUGACCACUGAGCCUGGGAUGAGUGGCACCACAAUAGUAAGCACUCCAAUCUAACCUUUUAUAAUAAUUUCCUACUAAAAGCAAGCAGGGCUGGAGUAGAGAAACCUGGAAUGUCUCAUUGUCAAAAAAUACAGCAGUGCCCAAGUAGAUGGGGGACAUGUCAAAAGUACACAGGGGCUAACCUGAAGGUGCUCCCAGCGGCCAUAUUUGAGACCAGUUACGCAUCUAAAGAAAUAAUGAUGUAACAAACCGUAACCCAUUGAAUAAAAGAAGAAACUACGAGUCCAUACUAGGAUGAGUUGAAUAUCUCUUAUCUGAAAUGCUUGGGACCAGACGUGUUUCGAAUUUUUUUGGAUUCUGAAAUAUUCACAUUAUCCUUAUUGGUGGGGCAUUCCUAAUCACAAACAAUACCCUUAAUUGUUUACAGGAAAUAUAUACUAAAGUAUUUAAAGGUGAUAGGCCCACUGGGUUGGCAACUCACUCUCAAAUGGUUCAGGUUCUGUACUUGGAAUUUUUCUGUUUGAGAAUGUUUCAAAAUAAAAAUGU
rnacentral:lncRNA from 10 species